UACUACCGAAGCUACGGCAUCAGUAAUGAUGGGUAGGGGAGCUUCCCAUACGGGUUGAAGCAUGACCGUAAGGACAUGUGGACAGUAUGGGAGUGAGAAUGUUGGCAUGAGUAGCGAGAUGUGGGUGGGAAUCCCACAGGCCGUAAACCCAAGGUUUCCAGGGGAAGGUUCGUCCACCCUGGGUUAGUCGGGACCUAAGCUGAGGCCGAAAGGCGUAGGUGAUGGACAACAGGUUGAUAUUCCUGUACUACCGAUAACCGUUUGAGAGAAGGGAUGACACAGUAGGAUAAGCUAAGCACACUGUUGGUUAUGUGUGCCCAAGCAUUGAGGCAGUCAAAGUAGGCAAAUCCGCUUUGAUAAUGCUGGGAUGUGAUGGGGAGCGAAAUUUAGUAGCGAAGUAGC
rnacentral:rRNA from 1 species